rnacentral:rRNA from 1 species
UACGAAGGGGGCUAGCGUUGUUCGGAAUUACUGGGCGUAAAGCGCACGUAGGCGGACAUUUAAGUCAGGGGUGAAAUCCCGGGGCUCAACCCUGGAACUGCCUUUGAUACUGGGUGUCUUGAGUACGAGAGAGGUGAGUGGAAUUCCGAGUGUAGAGGUGAAAUUCGUAGAUAUUCGGAAGAACACCAGUGGCGAAGGCGGCUCACUGGCUCGUAACUGACGCUGAGGUGCGAAAGCGUGGGGAGCAAACAGG